UACUGACUUCAAUGUUAUUAGGAUUCCUUGAUGCCAGACUCAGUCAAAUGCUGUCUUUAUGGCAGAGGGACUCACUCUCACCACAUCUUCAGAAUCCAGCUCUUUGAUAAAUAUUUAAUUGACUACCAAGACUAAAAUGGAUCAAAGGAGAAAAUGCUUACCAUCAUCUAUACCAAGAACAGCAAAUUACAGCAGCAAUGUCCAAGCCUAGGGAAACUAUUCUGACUUUCCUUCUUCAGCAAGAACAAAAGAAGCUGAGCCACAUGAACAGAAAUUCUGCAUGCAAAUGUGGAAAAGAAAACUAAGUUGAAAAUACUAAAAUGCCUCUGUAUCAGUUACCAUUAUUGUCAAUGGAAUUUUUUUCAAGUGAGGAAGACAAGUCCAUUGUUAUCCUUGCUACAAUGAAUUACAGGAAGGGAAUAAUCAGCACAGGCUUUACGUCAUGUCCUUACAGUUCUCUAAAAGGUGAAGGAGAUGUGGCAUUUUGCCUUUCCAUGUCUAACUUCCGUUAACUAUGUAGACUGGGGAGUGGAGGUCUGACUUCAUAGUUUUUAAAAUUCUAGCUUUGUUCAGGAUGUUCAAAGUGAACUGAGUGACAUUGUAACUGUGCUAUUGGCAUUUUAGCUUUCAAUAGCAAAUCGAGGAUUUUUUGUAGGACCUGGCUACAGUCAGAACAAUCAAUACAAGAUUUAAACAAACAACGUUAAGUUUCGGAACUGAAUUUUGUCAUCACUUCAAGGUUGUAACAACCAAUCAGCAAGCACUCCAGAGAUAAAGACAAUGAAACAUUUUGGGCCUCAAGCAGUCAUAGCCGAAGAAAGCAGAUGAAUUGAUGGAAUAUAAUAAUUCAGUUUCUUAGAAUACUAUUACUUUUGACAACUUGCUACACAAGCUGUAUAAACACUGAAUAGAUUCUUAAAAACUUAAUCUGUGCUUGACAACCAGCUACUUCUACUUUCAGGGAAGAGAGAAAAUGCUGCUCUUUUGGCUAUUUCCAUCAAUCAGAUUGAAACUGGUGUACUCUAAACAGCAUUACAAAAAUUGUCUGUCUCUGGUUCUACAACAAUUGGUAUUCAUACUGUAAAGGUGCUUCUCCAGCAGCUUGUCAAACAUAAUUGGAAAUUGAGACACAAAAAAAAUGACAAAGCUUGGUCAGAGCGGUCAGCUUUAGGAACCACUGAAAGCACAGAAGCUUUGGGAGGAAAUUCCAGAGCUUAAGGCCUCAGUGUUCUUUAAAUUUAUUCACAGGAUGUGGGAAUUACUGGCUAGGCCAGCAUUUAU